rnacentral:rRNA from 1 species
UACGUAGGGCGCGAGCGUUGUCCGGAAUUAUUGGGCGUAAAGGGUGCGUAGGCGGUUUGGUAAGUCUUAUGUGAAAUCUACAGGCUCAACUUGUAGUCUGCAUGAGAAACUGCCGGGCUUGAGUAUGGGAGAGGUGAGUGGAAUUCCUGGUGUAGCGGUGAAAUGCGUAGAUAUCAGGAGGAACGCCUGUGGCGAAAGCGGCUCACUGGACCAUAACUGACGCUGAUGCACGAAAGCUAGGGGAGCAAACAGG